rnacentral:rRNA from 1 species
AUUGAACGCUGGCGGCAUGCUUUACACAUGCAAGUCGAGCGGCAGCGCGGGGUUCAGGCAACUGAGCCCUGGCGGCGAGCGGCGAACGGGUGAGUAAUACAUCGGAACGUACCCAGGAGUGGGGGAUAGCCCGGCGAAAGCCGGAUUAAUACCGCAUACGAUCUGUGGAUGAAAGUGGGGGACCGUAAGGGCAACUGAGGGCCUCACGCUUUUGGAGCGGCCGAUGCCGAUUAGCUAGUUGGUGGGGUAAAGGCCUACCAAGGCGACGAUCGGUAGCUGGUCUGAGAGGAUGAUCAGCCACACUGGGACUGAGACACGGCCCAGACUCCUACGGGAGGCAGCAGUGGGAAUUUUGGACAAUGGGGCAACCCUGAUCCAGCCAUGCCGCGUGCGGGAAGAAGGCC